AGUGAACGCUGGCGGUAGGCCUAACACAUGCAAGUCGAACGGCAGCACAGUAAGAGCUUGCUCUUACGGGUGGCGAGUGGCGGACGGGUGAGGAAUACAUCGGAAUCUACUUUUUCGUGGGGGAUAACGUAGGGAAACUUACGCUAAUACCGCAUACGACCUACGGGUGAAAGCAGGGGAUCUUCGGACCUUGCGCGAUUGAAUGAGCCGAUGUCGGAUUAGCUAGUUGGCGGGGUAAGGGCCCACCAAGGCGACGAUCCGUAGCUGGUCUGAGAGGAUGAUCAGCCACACUGGAACUGAGACACGGUCCAGACUCCUACGGGAGGCAGCAGUGGGGAAUAUUGGACAAUGGGCGCAUGCCUGAUCCAGCCAUACCGCGUGGGUGAAGAAGGCCUUCGGGUUGUAAAGCCCUUUUGUUGGGAAAGAAAAGCAGCAGGUUAAUACCCCGCUGUUCUGACGGUACCCAAAGAAUAAGCACCGGCUAACUUCGUG
rnacentral:rRNA from 1 species